GGAAGAGUUCAUCAUUAGAAAGCCCUCUGACUGGCUAAUUAAUUCCUGGCUGUUCCCAGGCUUUCCCCCAAUAAAAGUAGAGCUAAGAUGCUGGGUCUUUGUUCCCCAGUGUUCCUGGUGUUACCAGAUGCUGGGGUUCUAGUUUCCUGUUGCUAUACAUCUCUUGGGAGAUGAUGAACCAUGAAGUCAUUCUGCCGGUUUUCUUAUCAUGCAUAACAGAAGAUGUCUCAGUAAAUGCUACAGAACGCCAUCAACCGCUUAAAUACAUAUAAAAAAGAAUCACAGACACCAGGAAGAAGUAACUAAUUAUACUAUAGCAUCAUGCACUGAACUGAAGGAUGGUCUGCCCUCUUGUGUCUUAGUAUUUUAUCUUGUGGUUGUACAACAAGUUCUGUCUUUCUGUGUUUUCUGACAAGUCCAUUGUGUAGAAAUGAACAUCUUUCAUGUUGUAAGAUAAAACCAAAUGCAAUAUUAAAAAGAAAGAUCAAAGCUGGGGGAAAGGGGCAAAAUUACUUGGAUGUUAUUUCUGCCAUUAUAAAAUCUCUCAUGCAAACUUCAGCAACUAGGAACAAAACAUAAAUUGAGCUGCUAAUAAACGUUCCAAAUGUGUUGAUUGUAAAAUAUUCAUCUGUUUUGUACAACUUUAUUUUGGACUGUAUGGCGAAAUGAAUCAUUCUCUGUGUGUUUUUUAAUGAGUUUUUCUGUUAAGUGUUAUUUAUAAAGUGUUACCUUUGUUACAAAAA